GGAUCCAUUGGAGGGCAAGUCUGGUGCCAGCAGCCGCGGUAAUUCCGGCUCCAAUAGCGUAUAUUAAAGUUGUUGCGGUUAAAAAGCUCGUAGUUGGUUCUGCGUGCCGCGCUGCCGGUUCGCCGCCUGUCGGUGUUACUGGCAUGUCGCGGCAUGUCCUGUCGGUGGUGAAUGAAAUUCCUGGUACUGCGUAGGCUUUAAAUAGCUGAAGUUUGUGCCGUGGUAAUUUCAUUUGCCGAUUUCUCCUACUCCGGUGCUCUUAAACGAGUGUCGAGGUAGGCCGACACAUUUACUUUGAACAAAUUAGAGUGCUUAAAGCAGGCUAAAAUCUCUGCCUGAAUAGUGGUGCAUGGAAUAAUAAAAUAGGACCUCGGUUCUAUUUUAUUGGUUUUAGGAAGACGAGGUAAUGAUCAAUGUGGACUGGCGGGGGCAUUCGUAUUGCGACGUUAGAGGUGAAAUUCUUGGAUCGUCGCAAGACGCACUAGAGCGAAAGCAUUUGCCAAGUAUGUCUUAAUUGAUCAAGAACGAAAGUUAGAGGUUCGAAGGCGAUCAGAUACCGCCCUAGUUCUAACCAUAAACGAUGCCAGCCAGCGAUCCGCCGAUGUUCCUAUAAUGACUCGGCGGGGAGCUUCUACCCGGGAAACCAAAGCUUUUGGGUUCC
rnacentral:rRNA from 1 species